UGAUGUAUUUGAUUCUUUAAAUCUCAAAAGCAAUACAAAUAAACUAUGUCACAGUUCCCAAAAAUCGUUAUUAAGUACUGGAACAUAUGACAUACCUAAAGAGGAUAUAUUUGUAGAUUCUACAUAUAAAGAAAAAACAGCAAUAAGUAAUAGAACCCCAUCACCUUCUGGAAUUGACACCUUACCGGAUAAGACUUCCAAAAUACGCGGCCGAACUGCUAGGAAGCAAGAUCUUCUGUUUGGGGACAUUAAAAUUGCACCCAAGACUGGCAGAAUGUCGCGAUCGUACACACAAAAUGAUGUCAUCUGUGAUAAUCCGCUUAUACGAGUUUCAAGUACUCCAGGAUAUUUAAAGCUCUAGCACAUACAAUAUAAGAGCCUUAUGGAAUUCUUAAUAGCACUAUGCAACAAAAUCAAACUUUUUUAAUCUGGAAUUAAAUUUCCUCUUUUGCUUUUUAGUUUAAGCUUUGGCUUGCCGUCUUAGUAAGCUUUAAAUAAAUAAUUUAUCAUUUU